UGGCAUGUGGAUGCAUUUUGGUUCAUCAGCCUGGAAGCUCUCUGAGCUCUCUCCUUUGGGGAUUUUAUGAAGGGUUCAUUACAUAGGCGUGUUUGAUAAAAUUAUUACCCACCACAGGUGAGUGAUUCAACUUCUAGCCUCUUUCCCCUCCUCAAGUAUCUGGGGAGUGGGUCUGAAAUUUCCAAUUCUCUAAUGACAGGUCUAGUUCUGGUAAACAGCCUCCAUCCUUAGGUGACUUUCAAAAGUCACUUUAUUAACAAAACAAAAGUCACCUUUGCAUUCUUAUCACCUAGGAAAUGCUACUUCUUUACAGAUUUGAAGGAUCAAAAGAAAAAAUAAAAGAGGGCCAUUAACCACUGGGGAGGUGAGGCCAACAAGGCUCUUCCCUUCUUGACACUCUUGACUUCUGUGGGAGCUUUGAGUCUCCUCAGUACCACCCCCAGCCUACAUGGUAUCUCUGUAUAUUAGAAAAAGGUGGUUGCUCGCAUCAGGCAGAGUCCUCAGGACAAAGGAACUGACGAGUGGGGCAGGAACUGGACUUCAGCCCAUUUUCCACCUCAGAAAACUGCCUGAUUUUCUUGUCUGUGGAGCCUUCUGUUUCUAUCCCACGUUUUUCUUCUAAAUAGGCACACCAUGCCUUCCCACCCCAUCCCCCCUCCCCCGAAAAAAAGAAAACAGAAAACCAUAGUCCUUGGUUUUCUCUACUUUUCCUUCUGUCCGUAGGUUAGUAGAAGUCUGUCUCUGUGUGGAUGACUCAAAUUUAUGCCUUUUGUCCUAGUCUCCAUUCUCAACUCAGUGCCUUAUCUAAACGACCUGGUUCCUUUCAAGUGAGUUCACAGAAAACACAUCAUAUUCCCUAAUAUGAUCCUCAGGCCUUUCCAAUUCUGUCAGUGGAGACGUCAUCCUACCUGCUGUCCAAUCUGCAUGCCUGGAAGUUACUCACGACCACCGACCCCUGUCCUCACACAGCCCACCUGCUCCUCUUUUUCAGGGAAGCCCAGGGCACAAGACACAGGCCAGAGGCUGACCUAUGCCGCUCCUUCUCCUAAGCACAAACCCUAGUCUGGGGACCCUCUUCAUGGGAAAAAACCCCAAAUAGAUGAAUAUACUGCAGCAGGUGCGGGAGAAAACAACUGCAAGCCAGACGGAAUUUCUGGUGAGAGUAGCAGAGAGCGGGCCACCAUCUUCGACUAAGCCACGCCCACUCAGUGUGCUAAGAUUUCUCCGCCACAUUGUCACCAUCUCUUCUUGAGGUAUCAAGCCAUAGGAGGAAUGCAUAUGGAACAUUGACUGAGAAAAAGUCACAUCCCCACUAGCUGCGAUGGCUACAUCAGCAAGCCACAAUCAGAUUACCUCCAUACUCCCCCAGGGAAGGUUGACAUCUCCUGGCCCUUUCCAAAAAUGGCACUGUUCCACCCAAUAGUCAAAAAUCUGUGUCAGGAAGAUGGCUGAGAACCUGAAGAUAGAGUCUGCCUGCUGAUCCAAGAACAACAGACAACUGGCUCAGGCUAUGAUUAAAGCCGGUUGGAACUCACAGCCGGCAGAACAAUGACCACAUUCAUGAACUGAACUUCUGCUUACUCUCCUAUUCCAAAGUCCUUCAUCUUCCCUCCACAUGGACAGCCAGCUGUGCGGAGAGAUUUGUG